rnacentral:rRNA from 1 species
UGCCCUUCCUACGGGAGGCAGCAGUGGGGAAUAUUGGACAAUGGGGGCAACCUUGAUCCAGCCAUGCCGCGUGUGUGAAGAAGGUCUUUUGGUUGUAAAGCACUUUAAGCAGUGAAGAAGACUCCAUGGUUAAUACCCAUGGACGAUGACAUUAGCUGCAGAAUAAGCACCGGCUAACUCUGUGCCAGCAGCCGCGGUAAUAAGGGC